UACGUAGGGUGCAAGCGUUAAUCGGAAUUACUGGGCGUAAAGCGUGCGCAGGCGGUGAUGUAAGACAGAUGUUAAAUCCCCGGGCUCAACCUGGGAACUGCAUUUGUGACUGCAUGGCUGGAGUGCGGCAGAGGGGGAUGGAAUUCCGCGUGUAGCAGUGAAAUGCGUAGAUAUGCGGAGGAACACCGAUGGCGAAGGCAAUCCCCUGGGCCUGCACUGACGCUCAUGCACGAAAGCGUGGGGAGCAAACAGG
rnacentral:rRNA from 1 species